GUGGGGGUAGCUCAGCUGGUUAGAGCAUCAGAUUGUGGUUCUGAGGGUCGUGGGUUCGAGCCCCAUUCUCCACC
rnacentral:tRNA from 1 species